GGACUUCAAAAGGAACCCAGAAUUUUCAGAGACAGGACAGUAUCAGAAACCUCAAAAGGGACUUGUACGCACCUCACACCAAGGCGUGAACGACGCUCCAAAGACGAAAGACACGUCCCCUUGCUGGAAGUACAAUUUUGCACAGAUUUUUCUUGCGAUUCCCGUUGCUGUCUUGUCCUCCCCAGCAUGCGAAAUCAUCCUUGCGCCUUGGGAUUGAGCCGCGUGGCAUAGCAAGGAUUAUUGAAGAAUUUUGGGGUGUUGAUUCUCCUAAUCCUGUUCUAGAAUGGGACGAUUUUUGGCAAAAAGGUUGUUCAUCCUAUAAUGUUUAGAAGUUGGUCGUCUCCCUGCUUAACGAGUUCCCGGAACGCUGCUCAGAAGAAGAUCAUAUUAGGUGGCGCGAUAAGGAAAGAGGUUUCGCCUAUUUAUAUUUGGUUGUUCUCCGUCACUGGCAUACGCUUAUUCCUUUUGAAAAUGUUUGUUGUUUAAUUAUCAAUGGAUGCAUUGGGUUUAUUCAAAGCCAUCUGAUCACAAGUUGACCUUUGCUUGACUAUCUCAAAUAAAAAUCUCAAUUUUUUUAAUUA